CGUGAAUUCAUCUCCGGGGGUAGAGCACUGUUUCGGCUAGGGGGCCAUCCCGGCUUACCAACCCGAUGCAAACUGCGAAUACCGGAGAAUGUUAUCACGGGAGACACACGGCGGGUGCUAACGUCCGUCGUGAAGAGGGAAACAACCCAGACCGCCAGCUAAGGUCCCAAAGUCAUGGUUAAGUGGGAAACGAUGUGGGAAGGCCCAGACAGCCAGGAUGUUGGCUUAGAAGCAGCCAUCAUUUAAAGAAAGCGUAAUAGCUCACUGGUCGAGUCGGCCUGCGCGGAAGAUGUAACGGGGCUAAACCAUG
rnacentral:rRNA from 2 species